UACGGAGGGGGCUAGCGUUGUUCGGAAUCACUGGGCGUAAAGGGUGCGUAGGCGGGUCUUUAAGUCAGGGGUGAAAUCCUGGAGCUCAACUCCAGAACUGCCUUUGAUACUGAAGGUCUUGAGUUCGGGAGAGGUGAGUGGAACUGCGAGUGUAGAGGUGAAAUUCGUAGAUAUUCGCAAGAACACCAGUGGCGAAGGCGGCUCACUGGCCCGAUACUGACGCUGAGGCACGAAAGCGUGGGGAGCAAACAGG
rnacentral:rRNA from 1 species